UAAAAAAAAGGUAACUGUUGUGCAAUUUAAAGGAGGUAAGGCAGUUAAAAAGUCAAAGCGAAGUGUUCCGCUUCGUUAUGCAGUUCAACAGGCCUCGACGUCGUUGGUUUCUAGCUUAGGUGAAGUCGAAGUCGAAGAGAAUGUUAUGGACGAUACUGACGAUAUUCAUGAGAUCGAGGAAACCACCCAGAGGAAACCUAGAAUUCGUAGAAUUCGUCUGAAAAAAACGCUGCAGGCCUACCGUGAGAGAAAGGCAAGACUUGCUGCUUCCUGGGUGGAUAUUAGGCAAGGACUUGUGUCUGCCCUUCUAUAUCGGCAGGCAUUGCAAGAAGGACAGAAAUGUGUCAUUCCUUCCUGUGGAAAGGAUGCUUUCGGGAGAUGCCUCCACUGUGGCCCUGGACAGUUUUUGUGUGAAGAACGCAUAGAAACUGUCCAUGGUGGAGGUAGAUCCCUACACUAUCCAGAAUUUUGGAAGGUUAGUGUACUGUACUACUUUACUACACAUUAAUAAAGACUUAUAAAGUAAGCAGGUUUUUUUUUUCUUCACGAGAAUAGGUUAAAUAAGAAUUGUUUGCUUCAGACUAGGUGUGACUAUUUGUUUCUUGCAUACUAUAAGAACUAACUGGGGCUUGAUUGUGCAUAUGUGGAACUGUCUGUUGCUUGUGCAUAUGUGGAACUGUCUGUUGCUUGUGAUUGGUCGCUGUUCUUCAUUUUUUCCCCUUUUCAUUCAGGAUGGUAGAUACCUUCCUUAUGUACUUAAUGAAUGCGUUUGGACGACACCUCACAACAAUAAUCACGGAUAUAUCCGUGAAAUUACAGCAAUUGGUGUAACUGGACAGCAUUCCAUAAAAGUUAAGUUUUGUGAGCAUGAGCCUGAAGCUGCAACCCUGGUUAGAAAUGGUUUUUGGCCAUCCUCUCCCAAACAACCUCAAGCUGCCUUUGAUCAAGGUUUGAUGAUGCUCCUUCAUUAUCUGUUUCUGGAGUGCAGGGUUUCGCUGAAAAACAUAUAUCAAGGACUCCAGUGGAUGGCUCCAUCUCUUUCUAAAGUUUAUGUAAGUUCAGUGUUUUACCUUUCUUGUUUAUGUUCUUUCAUCAGACAGCCUAUGACAUUUCAUCAUCACUCUUAGAGUAUAAAUGUUUGAAAUAGUAAUCAAUACUGUUCUCAGCUGGCAGGAUAUGAGCUGGUCAAUAACAUUUAAGUCCUUUGCCAUUUGCAUACUUAUCAAUGGUCACGUGCCCUAUUGCUACAGAGUCAGACUCCUGGUGAAGGAUGCUUACAGAAUUCUUGUCGGAGAAUGCUUUGGAGAGUUUAGGUUUUUGAAAAGCAUCAUUGACAAUCUCUCCAAUUUCAAUAACUCCUUUGGUGAAGAACAUGAAUGUCCUGCCUGUCCUAAGGAAAAUGGCAACAUGUAUAUUUCCAUUGAUGCUCUGUUUGGAUGUGUAAGAAAGUGCAGUGCUGGGACUAGUGCCAAAGCAGCUAAUCAUGGAGAGACAAUGUUUAUUGAGCAAGGAAAGGUUGACUCAUUUUUGUCUUCGUACAACAAAAAGUCGACGUCCAGAGCAAUUGUGAGUUUUCCUGUUAUAGUUUUUUUGAAUAAUGUUGCAGUAGUCCUUCCAUAGGGUUGCUGAUGUAGCUGUGAUUUCUACAUAAAUUUAUUUAUAAUGUAGCUAGCAGAGCUAUACAAGGGAAUUCAGUAUGCCUAAGCAUGCCCAAGCGAUCACUUUACAGGAUUCCUCACACAAGUUUAAUUGGUUCCUAUUAGCUGUGUACUAUCAAGUUAUGUUAUGUGCACUUGGUAAAUUUAGAGAACACACUGGGUGCUACAGUUACUCUCAGCAAUUGCUUAAAGUAAGUCUUACACUCCAUUAAGGCUCUCCACGCUUCCUGCAUGCACCAUAAGGCAUGCUGUUGCUGAUUUAUUUCUUUGUUAAAUGAACUCAUGUGACAGUUAACUCUGCCAAGAGUGGAUGCGUAUGUGUGUGUGUGUGUUUGCACUCUUGCCAGUCCCAAGCCUGGGUGAAGGAGGAGGGGCUGUCACAUUUAUGUUUGUCGCUAUUCAGCAAAGGGCUGUCAUGUACAUGACAGUGCCAUAUUUGUCGACUAUUUGUAAAUUACAUUUCAUAGUAUAAUGUAACACAAACUUAUUAUUUACAGAUUGUUUUCAGAUAUCCGUAAGGAUGUAGCUGGAUGAGAUGAUUAAAUGUUCAAGAGCAGUGACUGCAAAGCAUAUUCUAGUUAUCAUUACUAUUCUUUUCAAAUCAGUAUUACAGGAAUCAUGCAACCAAUUCCAAGCAGGGUCUAAUCUCCGGUCAAAAAUUAAGUCCAAAAAGUUGGAUGAGACUGCCCUUUUUGGUGCUGGCUGCAGACAUGAAGUCCCCCUGAAAUUCUUCAGUUUAAAGAGAGGAGAAGAGUGUGUAGAUGUGCCUGUUACAUUUUAGGGUGACAUAUAAUGAAUAUAUUCAGUGUACUUUCUCCAUAUACCCAUACAGUCCACUGAAGUAGCAUACAGUUUCAUCAUGUUUGUAGACUUUGUUAGCCUUUAUUAAAGAACAACAUGCAUUAUGUAAUUGUAGUUUUAUGACACAGUUACAGCUUUCUGUGGUCAGCUCAGUGGUCAAAUUUUAUUAUUUGUGUUCAGUAAGUAACUAACUUGUAACUUUAUCUUCAUAUUUUGUAGAAUUGGAAAUGCUGUGUUCCUUCUAAAAUGGAUUAAGGAACUGGUUCAUGAGAAGGGCAUAAAUGUUUACUUUUUCUACGACAUUGCAUGUGUCUUGGAUGCUCAUCUUAGGGUGUGUCUUAUAGCUACAAGAAUGUCACUGUACACUGUAUCUUUUGCAUUUUCAUUGCUUCUCCCAUUUAUUCUAGUGUGAUGUUUAUGUUAUUGUCUCUGCUUUAAGUGUUACAUGGUACAUGUUUGUGUUUUAAUUAUUGACAAGGUAAAAGACUUCAUUAUUGGUAUCAUUUUUAGAGUACUCACCAAGAAAAUGUUCUGGACAAUGUUGUGGUGGCAAUCCCUGCAUUUCACUGCUAUGGUCACAAGGUCUCAUGUCAGGUGCAUGAACGGUUUUUUAAUGUUUUUGUGUGAUAUAAUUAUGUUAAUUGUGACCAUGCCCUAUAUUGCAAUUAUUGCAAUUAUUGCAAUAUAGGGCAUGGCACAAUUAACUUAGAUAGCCUUUGCAUGUCUUGCUGUUAGGUUUUCCUCUCAUUUCGGUUGACUUGCAUGGUAGCAAUUGACAAAAUCUUACUUAAUUUCCAUUAAUGUUUGGGCAGGUCGCAUAUAGUGGGAAGCGGCUGGAGGGCUUUGGUUUGAGUGAUGGCAAAAUGAUGGAAAGGUUGUGGUCCUACUUAAGGCCAACAUCAAAGAUCACGAAAGAGAUGACUCCUUCCCAUAGAGUGGAUACAUUGACUGACUUUUUAGUGCAUUAUGCCAAAAAGUCUAUUUCAAACAUUG
rnacentral:misc_RNA from 1 species